rnacentral:rRNA from 1 species
GAUGAACGCUAGCUACAGGCUCAACACAUGCAAGUCGAGGGGAAACGACAUCGAAAGCUUGCUUUUGAUGGGCGUCGACCGGCGCACGGGUGAGUAACGCGUAUCCAACCUGCCCACCACUUGGGGAUAACCUUGCGAAAGUAAGACUAAUACCCGAUGAUAUCUCUAGACGACAUCUGAAAGGGAUUAAAGAUUUAUCGGUGAUGGAUGGGGAUGCGUCUGAUUAGCUUGUUGGCGGGGUAACGGCCCACCAAGGCAACGAUCAGUAGGGGUUCUGAGAGGAAGGCCCCCCACAUUGGAACUGAGACACGGUCCAAACUCCUACGGGAGGCAGCAGUGAGGAAUAUUGGUCAAUGGGCGAGAGCCUGAACCAGCCAAGUAGCGUGCAGGACGACGGCCCUAUGGGUUGUAAACUGCUUUUAUGCGGGGAUAAAGUGGGCCACGCGUGUCCGAUGAGAGUAUGCGUAGAAUAAGCAUCGGCU